UACUCUCACACUCUCUGAUCCUUUGGAUUCAGGGAGCGGUGGACUUGGGUGCUUGCUGCUUUCCUGGUGGCUCACCUCAAAUGCGUUAGUGCACCUCUUGGUUGGACAUAGUACGGCGUGAUAAGUAUCUUCGCCGGCACCUCGCAAGAGGGUGGCCGAUUGGGAGCUCUGUGCUUUCAAACCGUCUUCGGACAAUCUCUGACAAC
rnacentral:misc_RNA from 1 species